AGCGAACGCUGGCGGCGGGCUUAACACAUGCAAGUCGAACGGCAGGGCCCUACUUUUGUGCGGUGCUCGGUUGGCGAACGGGUGAGUAACACGUAUGUAACCUGCCCUACUCUUUGGUAUGACUUCACGUAGCUGGAGCUAAGACCGUAUAGGAGCUCCUGCUGCAUUGUGGGGGUUGGAAAGUUUGGGCGGUUGGGGAUGGACGCGCGGGUGAUCGCCUAGUUGGUGGGGGAGUGGCUUGCCGAGGCUGUGAAGGGUAGGCGGCCGGAGUGGGUGACCGGGCACAUGGGGACUGCGAUAGGGAGCAGAGUCGUAUGGGAGGCAGCAGUGGGAAAUCUUGUACAAUGGGCGGAAGCGAGAUGAAGAAACGUCGCGUGUGGGAUGACGGCCUUCGGGGUGAAAAACGCUUUCGGCUAUGACCCCGCGGGAGUGACGGUAAUGGAUAAAGAAGCACCGGCUAACUACGUG
rnacentral:rRNA from 1 species